rnacentral:misc_RNA from 1 species
UUGAAUAAGUAUGGUGGGUUGUAGCUGGCUUCUUGAAGCAUGUGCACGCCUGCUGUCUUUAUCCAUCCACCUGUGCACCUUUUGUAGUCCCUGGAGGGGAAAAAGUGGUCGGACCUUCAUUUAAGAAGAGAAGCAAUUCCUUCAGAGAGGUUUGGAUCAUCCCUUCCGGUUCUACGUCUUUCCCAUACACCAUGUAGUAUGUUACAGAAUGUGUUUGACGUGGCCUUGUGCCCAUAGAACUAUAUA